rnacentral:rRNA from 1 species
GAUGAACGCUGGCGGCGUGCCUAAUACAUGCAAGUCGAGCGAACAGACGAGGAGCUUGCUCCUCUGACGUUAGCGGCGGACGGGUGAGUAACACGUGGAUAACCUACCUAUAAGACUGGGAUAACUUCGGGAAACCGGAGCUAAUACCGGAUAAUAUAUUGAACCGCAUGGUUCAAUAGUGAAAGACGGUUUUGCUGUCACUUAUAGAUGGAUCCGCGCCGCAUUAGCUAGUUGGUAAGGUAACGGCUUACCAAGGCAACGAUGCGUAGCCGACGUGAGAGGGUGGUCGGCCACACGGGAACUGAGACACGGUCCAGGCUCCUACGGGAGGCAGCAGAAGGGAAUCUUCCGCAGUGGGCGAGAGCUUGACGGAACAGCGGCGAGUGAGUGGUGAAGGUCUUCGGAUCGUAAAACUCUGUUAUGAGGGGAAAACAAAUGUGUAAGUAGCUGUGCACGUCUUGACGGUAACUAGUCAGAAAGCCACGGCUAACUACGUG